rnacentral:rRNA from 1 species
UACGUAGGGGGCAAGCGUUGUCCGGAUUUAUUGGGCGUAAAGCGCGUGUAGGCGGCUUGGUAGGUCAGCUGUGAAAACUCGAGGCUCAAACCUCGAGAUGUCGGUUGAAACCACCUUGCUAGAGUCCGGAAGAGGAGAGUGGAAUUCCUGGUGUAGCGGUGAAAUGCGCAGAUAUCAGGAAGAACACCAAUGGCGAAGGCAGCUCUCUGGGGACGGUACUGACGCUGAGACGCGAAAGCGUGGGGAGCGAACAGG